CGGGUGAGGAAACGUACACAACCUCCCUCUUACCGGGGCACAACUCCGAGAAAUCGGGGCUAACUCCCUAUAAUAAUUCGAAGGGGCAUCUUUUGAAUUUAAAACUCCGGUGGUAAGAGAUGGGUGUGCGUCUGAUUAGCUAGUUGGUGAGGUAACGGCUCACCAAGGCAACGAUCAGUAACUGGUGUGAGAGCACGACCAGUCACACGGGCACUGAGAUACGGGCCCGACUCCUACGGGAGGCAGCAGUAAGGAAUAUUGGUCAAUGGACGCAAGUCUGAACCAGCCAUGCCGCGUGAGGGAUGAAGGUCCUCUGGACUGUAAACCUCUUUUAUCAGGGAAGAAAUGUCUCGUUUCUACGGGAUUUGACGGUACCUGAGGAAUAAGCACCGGCUAACUCCGUGCCAGCAGCCGCGGUAAUACGGAGGGUGCAAGCGUUAUCCGGAUUUACUGGGUUUAAAGGGUGCGUAGGCGGGUUAAUAAGUCAGGGGUGAAAUCUUCCCGCUUAACGGGAAAACUGCCUUUGAUACUAUUAAUCUUGAAUUCAGUUGAGGUGGGCGGAAUGUGUCGUGUAGCGGUGAAAUGCUUAGAUAUGACACAGAACACCAAUUGCGAAGGCAGCUCGCUAAACUGACAUUGACGCUGAGGCACGAAAGCGUGGGGAGCAAACAGGAUUAGAAACCCUGGUAGUCCACGCCCUAAACGAUGAUUACUCGAUCUGUGCGAUACACUGUACGGGUCUAUGCAAAAGCAUUAAGUAAUCCACCUGGGGAGUACGACCGCAAGGUUGAAACUCAAAGGAAUUGACGGGGGUCC
rnacentral:rRNA from 1 species